GUGUUUCAGAUUUGUUUCAAACACAGCAAUCAAACAUGUGUUCAGGAUUUAAUGCAACAACGUGUUCUGACCAUGUUACAUGUAGCACUAUUCCGGACAUGCAUUCAAAAUCGUGCUCCUUUAAAGAUGUUGCCGUCAAAUUAUGUCCACAAACUUGUGGAUGUUGCCAUUAACCUCAGAAGAACCAAAUUGGUAACCUUAGAAUAUCAGGAUACAGAAGGAAACAAAACAAAACACUUAUGUCUGAAAGCGCAACAUCUCUUAAAU